AGAGUUUGAUCCUGGCUCAGGACGAACGCUGGCGGCGUGCUUAACACAUGCAAGUCGAACGGUGACGAUUGGAGCUUGCUCCGAUCUGAUCAGUGGCGAACGGGUGAGUAACACGUGAGUAACCUGCCCCAGACUCUGGAAUAACCCCGGGAAACCGGAGCUAAUACCGGAUACGAAACGGAGCCGCAUGGCUACCGUUUGGAAAGUUUUUCGGUCUGGGAUGGACUCGCGGCCUAUCAGCUUGUUGGUGAGGUAAUGGCUCACCAAGGCGACGACGGGUAGCCGGCCUGAGAGGGCGACCGGCCACACUGGGACUGAGACACGGCCCAGACUCCUACGGGAGGCAGCAGUGGGGAAUAUUGCACAAUGGGCGAAAGCCUGAUGCAGCGACGCCGCGUGAGGGAUGACGGCCUUCGGGUUGUAAACCUCUUUCAGCAGGGAAGAAGCGAAAGUGACGGUACCUGCAGAAGAAGCACCGGCUAACUACGUGCCAGCAGCCGCGGUAAUAC
rnacentral:rRNA from 1 species